UUCCAAAUAACUUACUGCAAAUAAAAUAAAAAUACGUGAAGAAGGAAUAUGGUUCUGCCAGAUUGAUCUGCUAAAAAUGAAAUUUCUGCCGCGUGGCAAAAUACGAGUCUGUAAAAAGCAAGCGCGAAAGUGUUACGUGCAUUGAAAAGCGAUCAAUCGAAAGCUCAUGACGCUGACUAUUAUUGUGUGUAUCUACAGAGCUUGCACUUGAACGAGAGAGAGAGAGAGAGAGAGAGAGAGAGAGAGAGAGAGAGAGAGAGAAACGCGACUAUCGACUUUUCCUUGAAAAGUUGUUCGUACGCCCACGUCAUAGCAUGUUGCAUGUGCAACAGUUGUGUUACGUUUCUAAGUCAUUUUUGCAUGUAUAAAGGAAAAGAAGAAACUUAGUCAAGCUAGGACAUUUUCUUUAAAAUAUUAAUAAUACAGAUAUCGAAUUAGAUGUGAGUUAAUUUUAUCUUGCCAACCAGGAGUUUUGCGAAUUCGAACAUUGUUUUUUUACAAACAGUAUCGACCGCGAAACACGUUUCUUAUCGUCCUUCCUAAAUAAAAAGAAAGAAGUAUUUUUUUUCUUUAGAAUAUCUUAAUAAGUUGACAACUAUAGCGGGUUACCAAUGAUCAAUACUCGACAACAAUUUAUAAGAUAUUUUUAUUAUUAUUUAUAAAAUCAUAAACGUACGUUAAAUGAAAUGAAAAUAAGUAUAAAAUAAAUAUAACAAUUCUCUUUUAUAAGAAAUGGCGAUAGCCAUAUUAAAAUAGAUAUAAUCGAUUUAUAUAAAAUAUUGCUGAAAUGUCAAUGUAUUAAACAUAAAUUAAUCUUGAAAACUAGAUUAAAUUUAUCCAAAUACGCAAAUGGGACAAUAUGUCCAACGACUUUCCACAUCCGUUUGCGAUAAAAUAUUUGUUAUCAAAGUCUUUCUACUAUAAGAUAUCAUAUGGCACUAACUAGAAAAAGUUUUAUAAAGAGCAUGUGAAACACUUACAAGCAUCCGAAAAUUUAAGCGUUGAUCAUUUGACUCUCCUAGAAAUUGCCUCCUUUGCGGAAAAAUAAGAGACAGUAUGAAUUUCCUUUUCGUAUUCACAACUUGAGAAACUACCAUAAGAGUAAAAUAAACAAGAAAGAAAGGCCUGUUAUGCGUAUGUGUGUCUACGAGAAAAAAAAAGAGAACCGAUCGUAACCUUGAACUUAUUUGUUGAAAAGCUAAGAGCAGAAUCGCUUUAUCCCUCCGUACAGUUCAUCAUUGUACACACCACUGCGAUAUAAGAGCGCACUGAGGGUGAGAAUGAAGGGAAAGAGAAGUCGUGAAUUCUAGAAAGAGUGAGGGGAAAUGGAAAGAGUAAGAGAGAAGGGAAAGAAUAAAACGUUGGUCUAAGCGCACUAUCAGUCAGCCUUAAUCAGCUUACAAGUGGAUGUUUCCCAUAUAUAUAAUAAGACUACAUUGUCAGUUAGAUCAAGAAAAAGCCGUAAACAUCAUGGUAUCAUUCCCAUUGUCUAGCAGAGGACUUUAAUCAUUAUACGCAUGUGCGACAAUUCUCUUAAUAAAAAUGGAGAUGCAAAUUCAAUAGCUAGAAUACACUAUUUGGAGGUUAAAGCAGCUAGAAAUUUAUUAAUUUAAUAUAUUCUUGAAAAUUUAAUACAAUUUUCCUAUUCAGUAUAUUAAAAUACAUUAUAAUUUUUUUACAAUUUAAUUAUAUAUUGUAUCUUAUUCUUGUGCGCCUAUAAUAAUUGUAUAAUUCAGUUUUAUAUUUAAUCACCUGCAUACAACACCUUACGUACAAAAAACAAAAGAUUAUCUUAUCAGAUUUCUAAGCUUCAGCAUAGAAGAUAGGCGGCAUUUUGAUACAUCAGUAUAUAACACUUUCUUAUAAGUUUUUUUAUGUGAAAAAUGUAUAACUGCGUACAUAUUAUUUAAACUUUUAUUUUUGAUUGUUAUUUCCCAGUAUCUUUUAUUUCAGAAAGAACUUAUCUACAUUUAUUGAUUAUUAUUGUAAAAUUCUUACUUCAAAUAGAUUUUUCUUUCAGCAAAAACAAUUAUAAAACAUUAUAUUGAAUAUCUUGGAUGUAGUUUUAACAUUUUACACACGAAUAAACAUAAAGUAACUGCUCAAAUAGAUUUCCCAUCAAUAUUAGAUUAGAUUUUAUGUGAAAUAAAAAAUAAUUAGAAAGAUAAAAAAUACUCGGCGCCAAGGUAUAUGUAUCUUGAUACUAAUAAAAUCCCAGAUGUAAAAGACUGUAGUACGUUUCGAAUUCAGGACAAAAGAAAAAAAAAAGAUUAAUACUAGAUAAGAUUCAACGAAUCGCAUCGAUUUCAUUGGUUUUGAUUUAUUUUUUAUUUUUAAAUAACUUGUGACGGAUCUUUGGAUUUUUUUUCAUUGUCAGUUUGUGUUACGUUCGUAAAUAAGCAAUUUUAAAAAUGUAUCAUAUAAUAAACAAUUUUAAUUAUCAAAUAUAAAGUAAUUUUCAACAAA